GAAAACUUGAAAAUUACCGUUGGAUCGAGAAAUGGACGUUCGAGAUUCGUCCAUGUCACCAUGAGUUAAAAUUUAACUCGCAGAUUCACUCAUGAGUUAAAAUUUUACUGGGAGUUAAAUUUUAACUCAUAGUGACGUGGACGAAUCUCGAACGUCCAGAUCUCGAUCCAACGGUAGUUUUAAAGUUUCC
rnacentral:pre_miRNA from 1 species